AACAAACGCUGGCGGCGUGCCUAAUACAUGCAAGUCGAACGGGGAAGGCUUUCGGGUGAGUACUAGUGGCGCACGGGUGAGUAACGCGUGGAUAAUCUGCCUUAGAGUGGGGGAUAACUAGUCGAAAGAUUAGCUAAUACCGCAUAAGACCACAGGAACCGAGGUUCUAGAGGUCAAAGGUUUUUCGCUCUAAGAUGAGUCCGCGUAAGAUUAGCUAGUUGGUGAGAUAACGGCUCACCAAGGCAACGAUCUUUAACUGGUCUGAGAGGAUGAUCAGUCACACUGGAACUGAGACACGGUCCAGACUCCUACGGGAGGCAGCAGUAGGGAAUAUUGCACAAUGGAGGAAACUCUGAUGCAGCGACGCCGCGUGAGUGAUGAAGGCCUUCGGGUCGUAAAGCUCUGUCGCAGGGGAAUAACACAAUGAAUGUACCCUGUAAGAAAGGAUCGGCUAACUUCGUGCCAGCCGCCGCGGUAAUAC
rnacentral:rRNA from 1 species